GUGCCAGCCGCCGCGGUAAGACGAGGGGUGCAAGCGUUAUUCGGAAUUACUGGGCGUAGAGGGCGUGUAGGCGGAUAUGUAAGUCAGUUGUCCAAGACCAUUAUUCAUUGAUGGGGAGGCAGUUGAAACUAUAUAUCUUGAGUUUGGCAGAGAGGAGUAGAGUUCUCGGAGUAGCGGUAAAAUGCGUAGAUCUCGAGAGGAACACCAAUGGCGAAGGCAGCUCCUUGGGCCAAAACUGACGCUGAGGCGCGAAAGCGUGGGGAGCAAACAGGAUUAGAUACCCCUGUAGUCC
rnacentral:rRNA from 1 species